ACAUUUUCACAUAACCUGUUGACCCCAACUUGCUAAUCUCACAGUUGAAUCUUUGCAGAGGCGUUAUGAAAUGAGGAUCAUGCCGUUUUGGCUGUGUGGGGGUGCUGAAUGUCUGAUUUGACACAGAACUAC